rnacentral:rRNA from 1 species
AAACUAACAAGGAUUCCCCUAGUAACUGCGAGUGAAGCGGGAAAAGCUCAAAUUUAAAAUCUGGCAGUCUUUGACUGUCCGAGUUGUAAUUUAGAGAAGUGAUGCCGGCGCUGGACUGUGUACAAGUCUCCUGGAAUGGAGCGUCAUAGAGGGUGAGAAUCCCGUAUAUGACACAGUUGCCAGGGCACAGUGGUACGCUCUCAAAGAGUCGAGUUGUUUGGGAAUGCAGCUCAAAAUGGGUGGUAAAUUCCAUCUAAAGCUAAAUACAGGCGAGAGACCGAUAGCGAACAAGUACCGUGAGGGAAAGAUGAAAAGAACUUUGGAAAGAGAGUUAAACAGUACGUGAAAUUGUUGAAAGGGAAACGCUUGAAGUCAGUCAUGUUGCUGGAAAUCACACUUGCUUUUUGCUUGUGGCUCUUUCCUUUGCAAUGGGUCAGCAUCAGUUUUGGUUGUUGGAUAAGAGUCAGAGGAAGGUGGCAUCCUUGGAUGUGUUAUAGCCUCUGAUUGCAUGCAAUGACGGAGACUGAGGAACUCGGCACUUGUGCCUAGGAUGCUG